AAGUCCAUAGUGUGGACAUUUUCAUAGCAAGUCCCUAAACCUUUCCCAUGCUUCAUACAAUGAUUCACUCUCGUGUUGGUUAAAAUUAGUUAUGUCCAUUCUAAAUUU